rnacentral:rRNA from 1 species
GACGAGCGCUGGCGGCGUGCUUAACACAUGCAAGUCGAACGGAAAGGCCCUGCUUUUGUGGGGUGCUCGAGUGGCGAACGGGUGAGUAACACGUGAGUAACCUGCCCUUGACUUUGGGAUAACUUCAGGAAACUGGGGCUAAUACCGGAUAGGAGCUCCUGCUGCAUGGUGGGGGUUGGAAAGUUUCGGCGGUUGGGGAUGGACUCGCGGCUUAUCAGCUUGUUGGUGGGGUAGUGGCUUACCAAGGCUUUGACGGGUAGCCGGCCUGAGAGGGUGACCGGCGACAUUGGGACUGAGGUACGGCCCAGACUCCUACGGGAGGCAGCAGUGGGGAAUAUUGCACAAUGGGCAGAAGCCUGAUGCAGCAACGCCGCGUGCGGGAUGACGGCCUUCGGGUUGUAAACCGCUUUCGCCUGUGACGAAGCGUGAGUGACGGUAAUGGGUAAAGAAGCACCGGCUAACUACGUG